rnacentral:rRNA from 1 species
AGCACGCCGCGUGAGUGAUGAAGGCCUUCGGGUCGUAAAGCUCUGUUGUUAGGGAAGAACAAGUGCUAGUUGAAUAAGCUGGCACCUUGACGGUACCUAACCAGAAAGCCACGGCUAACUACGUGCCAGCAGCCGCGGUAAUACGUAGGUGGCAAGCGUUGUCCGGAAUUAUUGGGCGUAAAGCGCGCGCAGGCGGUUUCUUAAGUCUAAUGUGAAAGCCCCCGGCUCAACCGGGGAGGGUCAUUGAAAACUGGGAAACUUGAUUGCAAAAGAGGAAAUUGAAAUUCCUGGUGUACCGGUGAAAUGCCUAAAGAUUUGGAGGAACACCAGUGGCAAAGGCAACUUUCUGGUCUGUAACUGACCCUAAGGCCCGAAACCUUGGGAAGCAAACAGGAUUAGAUACCCUGGUAGUCCACGCUGUAAACAAUGAGUGCUAAGUGUUAGAGGGUUUCCGCCCUUUAGUGCUGAAGUUAACGCAUUAAGCACUCCGCCUGGGGAGUACGGUCGCAAGACUGAAACUCAAGGAAUUUGA